UGGGCGUGUCUAGAGUGAGCGGAUACUCAGGAGGUCGUAUGAUGAUCAAGUGUGAACAUCCUCAAUACAAAACCAAGACAAAAUACAUCUGUAAAGAAUCAGAUGGAUGUUCAGAGAGGAAGAAUCCAGGAGUUCAGGAUGAAUGGAUGGAGAAUGGAGAUGUUUCUUUAUAUGACGACACCAGAGCAGGAGUCUUGAUGGUGUUUUUUAGAGAGCUGAAAGCUGCAGAUGCAGGAACAUACAGGUGUGGAGUGAAUGUGUCUCACUAUACUGAGAGCUUCACUGAACUUCAGCUGAACGUCACAGAUGAUGCAACGUUUGUGACUAAAUCUGCUCAUCUUGGUGAAGAAGUCAACAUCAUCUGUCAGAUCCCAGAGGAACAUAAAGUUCAUUUCUGCAAAGAGG